rnacentral:lncRNA from 1 species
CGCCAGUUCAGUGCAGAGGUGGGCUCGCGGUUGCCGGAAAGGUCAUUGAGGUGGCAUCCCUGUCCGCGCGCUGUUUACGUGACUUAAUCUUGUUAUCAGGGCCACCCAAUGACCGACGAAAGAUUUUCCCUCCCCACCUCUCCCAUCGCCGCUUUAAACCAAAUAAAUUUAGCUAUUAAGGGCCAAGAUGUCUGAAAAAAGAUCGAAAGGUGUCUCUCUGGGAUCCCUUAGAGAAGCGGAGAAGCUAGCGGCUCUUGGCUCUCGAAUCCCGAUAAAGAAAUUCCCCGCCGGCGCCAGCCUCCCUCCUCAGCCUGCUUGCGUUCUUGGGAUCACCACCUCAAAGGUCCGUUGCGACCUGUGACUGCAACUGAGGCAUUGUCUCCGGGUCUCCUGGCCUGGGGAUGCUCAGGCAUUGGAACUAACCCUAACUCAGAAGCUGUAGGACCUAAAACAUUCCUGCCAGGCUUGCAGAAGAACCAAGGUCAAUGAAACAAACUCAAGUUCCAUUUAAAUUUGCCCCUGUUCCCC